rnacentral:tRNA from 1 species
GGGGAUGUAGCUCAGUUGGUAGAGUGCUUGUCUUGCAUUGCUUGUCUUGCAUGCACAAGGCCCUGGAUUCAAUCCCCGGCACCACUA